CACAUGCAAGUCGAACGGUAGCACAGAGAGCUUGCUCUCGGGUGACGAGUGGCGGACGGGUGAGUAAUGUCUGGGAAACUGCCUGAUGGAGGGGGAUAACUACUGGAAACGGUAGCUAAUACCGCAUAACGUCGCAAGACCAAAGAGGGGGACCUUCGGGCCUCUUGCCAUCAGAUGUGCCCAGAUGGGAUUAGCUAGUAGGUGGGGUAACGGCUCACCUAGGCGACGAUCCCUAGCUGGUCUGAGAGGAUGACCAGCCACACUGGAACUGAGACACGGUCCAGACUCCUACGGGAGGCAGCAGUGGGGAAUAUUGCACAAUGGGCGCAAGCCUGAUGCAGCCAUGCCGCGUGUAUGAAGAAGGCCUUCG
rnacentral:rRNA from 1 species